AGUGAACGCUGGCGGCAGGCCUAACACAUGCAAGUCGAACGGCAGCACAGUAAGAGCUUGCUCUUACGGGUGGCGAGUGGCGGACGGGUGAGGAAUACAUCGGAAUCUACUUUUUCGUGGGGGAUAACGUAGGGAAACUUACGCUAAUACCGCAUACGACCUACGGGUGAAAGCAGGGGAUCUUCGGACCUUGCGCGAUUGAAUGAGCCGAUGUCGGGUUAGCUAGUUGGCGGGGUAAAGGCCCACCAAGGCGACGAUCCGUAGCUGGUCUGAGAGGAUGAUCAGCCACACUGGAACUGAGACACGGUCCAGACUCCUACGGGAGGCAGCAGUGGGGAAUAUUGGACAAUGGGCGCAAGCCUGAUCCAGCCAUACCGCGUGGGUGAAGAAGGCCUUCGGGUUGUAAAGCCCUUUUGUUGGGAAAGAAAAGCAGCAGGUUAAUACCCCGCUGUUCUGACGGUACCCAAAGAAUAAGCACCGGCUAACUUCGUG
rnacentral:rRNA from 1 species